rnacentral:rRNA from 1 species
UGCAAGUCGAACGAGAAACCCUGACUUCGGUUGGGGCGGUAAAGUGGCGAACGGGUGAGUAACACGUGGAUAAUCUACCUCAUAGUCUGGGAUACUCCUUCGAAAGAGGGCUUAAUACCGGAUAAUAUCUUCUGAUGGCAUCAUCGGAAGAUGAAAGGCGGGGUAACCUGUCACCUGAGGAUGAGCCCGCGCUGCAUUAGCUUGUUGGUGGGGUAAUGGCCUACCAAGGCAACGAUGUAUAGCCGGCCUGAGAGGGUGAACGGCCACACUGGGACUGAGAUACGGCCCAGACUCCUACGGGAGGCAGCAGUAAGGAAUAUUGCGCAAUGGACGAAAGUCUGACGCAGCGACGCCGCGUGGAUGAUGAAGCAUUUCGGUGUGUAAAAUCCUUUCAGCAGAGAAGAACCGCGAGAAUAGUAACUGAUUUUCGCCUGACGGUACCUGCAGAAGAAGUCCCGGCUAACUCCGUGCCAGCAGCCGCGGUAAUACGGGGGGGACAAGCGUUGUUCGGAUUCACUGGGCGUAAAGGGCGUGUAGGCGGACCUAUAAGUCGGAUGUGAAAUCCCGGAGCUCAACUGCAAGCCUGCAUUUGAAACUGUUAGUCUUGAGUACAGGAGAGGAAAGCGGAAUUCCAGGUGUAGCGGUGAAAUGCGUAGAUAUCUGGAAGAACACCAGUAGCGAAGGCGGCUUUCUGGGCUGAUACUGACGCUGAAGCGCGAAGGCUUGGGUAGCAAACAGGAUUAGAUACCCUGGUAGUCCAAGCGGUAAACGAUGGGUACUAGGUGUCGGGGGUCUCGACCCCCUCGGUGCCGCAGCUAACGCAUUAAGUACCCCGCCUGGGGAGUACGGUCGCAAGAUUGAAACUCAAAGGAAUUGACGGGGGCCCGCACAAGCGGUGGAGUAUGUGGUUUAAUUCGAGGCAACGCGAAGAACCUUACCUGGGUUUGACAUGCAUGUGACUGCUGGUGAAAGCCAGUUUUCCUUCGGGACACAUGCACAGGUGCUGCAUGGCUGUCGUCAGCUCGUGCCGUGAGGUGUUGGGUUAAGUCCCGCAACGAGCGCAACCCCUGUCCAUAGUUGCCAUCAGGUAAUGCUGGGAACUCUAUGGAGACUGCCGGUGAUAAGCUGGAGGAAGGUGGGGAUGACGUCAAGUCCUCAUGGCCCUUACGCCCAGGGCUACACACGUGCUACAAUGGUCGGUACAGUAGGUCGCAAUACCGCGAGGUGGAGCUAAUCCCUAAAACCGGCCUCAGUUCGAAUUGCAGUCUGCAACUCGACUGCAUGAAGGUGGAAUCGCUAGUAAUCGCUGAUCAGCAGGCAGCGGUGAAUACGUUCCCGGGCCUUGUACACACCGCCCGUCAAGCCAUGGAAGUUGGGAGCACCCGAAAUCGUUUGCUUAACCGUAAGGAGAGCGGCGCCUAAGGU